GUAGGGAAUCUUGCGCAAUGGGCGAAAGCCUGACGCAGCCAUGCCGCGUGAAUGAUGAAGGUCUUAGGAUUGUAAAAUUCUUUCACCGGGGACGAUAAUGACGGUACCCGGAGAAGAAGCUCCGGCUAACUUCGUGCCAGCAGCCGCGGUAAUACGAAGGGGGCUAGCGUUGCUCGGAAUUACUGGGCGUAAAGGGCGCGUAGGCGGAUAUUUAAGUCGGGGGUGAAAGCCCGGGGCUCAACCUCGGAAUAGCCUUCGAUACUGGAUAUCUUGAGUACGGGAGAGGUGUGUGGAACUCCGAGUGUAGAGGUGAAAUUCGUAGAUAUUCGGAAGAACACCAGUGGCGAAGGCGACACACUGGCCCGUUACUGACGCUGAGGCGCGAAAGCGUGGGGAGCAAACAGGAUUAGAUACCCCGGUAGUCC
rnacentral:rRNA from 1 species